rnacentral:miRNA from 1 species
UGUGCCGUUCUGACACAGCUCU